AGUGAACGCUGGCGGCAGGCCUAACACAUGCAAGUCGAACGGCAGCACGGCAGUAGCAAUACUGUGGGUGGCGAGUGGCGGACGGGUGAGGAAUACAUCGGGAUCUACCCUGUUGUGGGGGAUAACGUAGGGAAACUUACGCUAAUACCGCAUAAGAACUGAGGUUGAAAGCGGCGGACCGCAAGGCGUCGCGCGAUUGGAUGAACCGAUGUCCGAUUAGCUAGUUGGCGGGGUAAAGGCCCACCAAGGCGACGAUCGGUAGCUGGUCUGAGAGGACGACCAGCCACACUGGAACUGAGACACGGUCCAGACUCCUACGGGAGGCAGCAGUGGGGAAUAUUGGACAAUGGGCGCAAGCCUGAUCCAGCCAUGCCGCGUGGGUGGAAGAAGGCCUCGGUUGGUAAGUACCGUUU
rnacentral:rRNA from 1 species